AGUGAACGCUGGCGGUAGGCCUAACACAUGCAAGUCGAACGGCAGCACAGUAGGAGCUUGCUCUUACGGGUGGCGAGUGGCGGACGGGUGAGGAAUACAUCGGAAUCUACUUUUUCGUGGGGGAUAACGUAGGGAAACUUACGCUAAUACCGCAUACGACCUACGGGUGAAAGCAGGGGAUCUUCGGACCUUGCGCGAUUGAAUGAGCCGAUGUCGGAUUAGCUAGUUGGCGGGGUAAAGGCCCACCAAGGCGACGAUCCGUAGCUGGUCUGAGAGGAUGAUCAGCCACCCUGGAACUGAGACACGGUCCAGACUCCUACGGGAGGCAGCAGUGGGGAAUAUUGGACAAUGGGCGCAAGCCUGAUCCAGCCAUACCGCGUGGGUGAAGAAGGCCUUCGGGUUGUAAAGCCCUUUUGUUGGGAAAGAAAAGCAGCAGGUUAAUACCCCGCUGUUCUGACGGUACCCAAAGAAUAAGCACCGGCUAACUUCGUG
rnacentral:rRNA from 1 species